UCUUGAAGGGCUCUGAGACAGGGUACUAAUGUUGCAAGCUGCCAUUUAUGGUCUUCUAAAUCUAAGUGGAGAUGCAAGAAUUAUUGAUCAAGAAACUGGGCUAAGAUAUUGAUGGGUCAACUCCAGUUCUUUUCAGUGGUAAGCAGGGCUGAGAUUGGAGAAUGCUAUAGGGUUUUGACCCAUUUUUUGAUCAAUUUUUUUGUAAGUUGGGAAGAUAUUGCUUCUUUUCUCCUGUGUUUGCUUUUAGCAACACUGUCCAUGGGUACUUGUCUGAAAGGACAAACAUUUUACUGCGUAUGCCUACAAAUAUCUUAUAAACUCUGUAGCUUUUUGUUGUGGAAUUGUGAAUUAUAAUGGAGCUGAACAAAAAAUAAAAGUUUAUAUUGUGAUCA